rnacentral:ncRNA from 1 species
UCUAUAACUAGUCAUUCGACUCAUAUAAUAAUGUGGAAAUGGCCCAAAAGUUUCUACCAAACUACCGUAAAUAGUUUAACUAUGAGGAUGAUGGUGUUUCCU